GAGCCCACAUGCAGAUGCCCAGUUUGCUGUCCUGUCCCCCAGACCCCCCUCUCCUGCUGGAUCUCCAGCUCUCUGCACUUCUCAUUGGACUUUCCCUGUGAUCCAGCCCAGGGGGAAGGAAAACAUAAAAGGAGGAGAAGACAGGGCCCUGCUCUCUGGGAUGUGAGAAGAGAGGCACAAGAGGAGAAACCAUAGAAACCAUGGGCAAAAAAAAAAAAAAGGCAUGCAAGUUAACAAAGUGUUGCCUGAUCCUUCAGUGCUGAGGGACUCCGGAAAGGAGGAUGAGAGCUUGAGAGCAGAGAUGGAGAGCAGCAAGCAAGAACAGAGGGAAGGAGAUGCAGAUUGAGAGGCUGGGGGUGCAAAGGGCUGGGAGACAGGAGGCUGGUGUGCUCAGCAAGUCUGCAGAGAAGAAGCUGAGAAGACAUCAGAGAUGAGGGCUACAGAAGCAGGUGUUAGUGCUGCUAUUUUACAGAUAAUGAAACUAAGGCACAGAGAGGGCUAAGGGGCCAGGGGAGCAGAGUGAGGAAAGGCAGACACUACGCACUCACAGUUACUGAGCGCACACUGUGUGUCGAGUCUGUGGCCUUCCCAGCACAGCGCUGAUGCUCACCGCAGCCCCGUGAAGGAUUUCCUGCAGCCUGACAGGGAUUCCCCACGUGUUACAGGAGGCGAAAAACAGCCCUGAAGACUUGAGCAGAACCUUCUCAGCAGCGACUUCCAAAGGGCUCGGCAGCCACAACAGGGCAGCAGAGAAUGGCGCUCCCUGCAGAGCCCCCCUGGCCCUGGGACCUGAGACAGGACUGGGCUGCCCAGACUGGGGGUCAGUGGCCUUCCUCUCCUGGCCUCCCCCCUCCCCCCACCCCAUCCACAGACUGCUGGACAUGUGCACAAAUCAGACCAGAGACACUUUCAGCUAGGAGGCUUCAGGCUCCCCCAGAGAUAGCACACAUGUGCACAAACACACACACACAUGCAGAUACACACACACAGAUGCUCACACUCAUACAUACACACAGACACAUACCCUCAAAAUACACACAUAUACACACCCAUACAUCACAUUGUCACAUGCAUGUAACACAAAGACACAUACGCACUCACAUUUACAGACACGCACACACACCCAAACUUACACACUCUGACACACACAUCAAACAAACAUGUGCACACAUUCGCACCACUCUAUUCCUUUCUUCUAAGGCUCCAGAGCCAGUCCUCUGGAUCCUAGAGAUCUGGAAUGUGCAGGGGAAAGCAGGGAAACCCACAGGGAACCUGUUUCCGGUUUCCUGGCCCACACUGCAGCUCCCCUGCUCUAUCCCCCUUUCUGCCACCAGAGUCUCUGGGACUAUGACCCACACUGUGAAAGUGCAACCUGCAGAGAUCACUCAGUCAUUCACACAACGGACACUUGUGAGCACCUACCUACCACUCCCCAACCCACCCCCACCCCCAGGCCUGCAGCUGAGGGAGACUCAUAAAUGAAUCACUGAUGUCUGAGAGCCCAGCAGAAGGCGCGUGGUUUAGCAAUGACCGUGUGUGUGUGUGUGUUUGUCUGCACGCGUGCGCGCAGGACAGGACUCAUACCUCCAUGUGGAAGCCAAAGAUUCCCCCCAGAGUCUCACCUCCUGUUCUGCCUGUUUGGUCUACGCGGUCUCCCCUUCCCUGGCCACACCUUGCUGAACCCCAGCACUCCUGGAGAGAGGAUGUCCCUCUAUGGGUCCCUUUUCAUGCUGUCCCUCCAGUAUCCAACUCAGGAUUUCUGCUUCAGAAAACAAGCAGCACUGUCUGCUUCCAGGAAGAUCUUCCUCUCCCCUAGCUUCAGUCUUUCAUGCUGCUGUUCCAGAUCCCAGGAUUCAGAACAUGUUUCUGGGCUCUAAGAUCCAGCCAAGGGCUGAGGAGUCUGAGUGUCUGUUUGGAUGCAAGGGGAAGGCAGUGGUUCCUGGGGUGAAAAUGGCCAGACAACACUUUGGAGCUCUGUGCACACAGCAGGUGUGUAAUAAGUGUGAAAUGGUCCAUUGAGAAGCUGGGCUUAGGGAGGUGAGGGAGGAUAGAGGGCACAGGAAUGAGGCUGGACUGGUCUGAAAUGCCUGUUCCCCAUUCUCUUCCCUUCCUUCUGGGCCACCUGGAGAGAAUGUGCUCUAAGACAGGCCUGAGCCUGGAGUCUUCCCUAAGCUGAGGGGGGUGUCCUCCCCUCCAUCCACCUCCACCCACCCCAGCUCAGGACACCAGGACACCCACCCCUAAGAGCCUAGCCACUGUUCCCCCACCCCACCAACCCCACACACCCUCUGAUCAGCCAGGGCUCCCAGAUCUCUGACCCCUUACCUUGCACACCAGCCUGAAUGCCCCCAUUCUGGUAAAAUCUUAGGUGACCUCUUGCAGCUGCCUGAGCCCCUCCAGUCAACAGAGUAGUUUUCAAGCUUUAGCCAGCACCCUUAGCCCACAUGAUGAUGAACUCAUCUUUCUUAGUAUCCCUAUAGCAUGUAUAACCAAAAUGUGUUAUCCCAACAGGAAGCAGGUACAGGAAAGGGCGAGAGGGUAUAAAGCUCCAGGUACUAGUCUCAGAUUUCUCUUAGACAUUCCCAUACCUUUCCUAAUGGAACCCCUGCUCUGCAAGAUACAGAAGUCGAUGCUACCAACUUGUGCCAGGAGGAGGGGCCAGGAAAAGAAAGGAAGACCCUGCUAAUUAAAGAGCUAGCUGAGGCUGCUGGGAUACUGGAGGACUGCCUGCUCUUCACCAGCCCGCUUUGUCUUCAGUCUUGGAUCCCCUGCCUUCAGCCAGGGACCCAGGGAUGACUGGGGUCAGGUAGUCUAUAAAGUCACUCAGAGGAUACCUUCCCCUCUCCAAAGCCCAAAAGUCUGACCAACUCCCCCAAGGAGAACAGAGCCCAGAACCCACUGAAUCUGAGCUGGGAGGUGAGAGGGAGUCCCUGUGACAGCAAAUAGCCUCUGUCGUUGUGUGCUCCUGUCUCCAUCUCUUCCCCAACUCCUCACAUCCUGGGGCUUUAUUUCAGAGGCCUCUGCCUUGAUCUUCUCCAAGUCUCUAGCAAGAUCAAAGCUCUUAACCCUGUUUUGCUUGCUGAAUCUUAGGCUGGAUUAGAGGGGACAGGGUCAACCCAGAGGCAAGGGGACAGCCCUGACUUCCCCUUUUCCCAAGCAGGAGGGAGGUUUGGAAGUUGGACCAAAGAGGAACCAGUCCUAAACUUGUUUUGAAAAACACACACCCUGGUGGGAAGGCUUUUAGUCUCCUUCUGUUAUUGAUUUUAUUGUUAUUUUUCUUCAGUUUAGAAAUUGAACUAACAUGUCAUCAUAGUAGUGUAAAAUAUGACAGUGGCCAUAAAGGCCUUUCCUAACCUCCCUAUCUAAACAAAAUUCCCUGUUAUUCUUGAUCAGAAGACCCUGUUUAUUUCCUUUGGGGGUUCAUCACACUCUGGAAUUAUUGAACCUUUGUUUUCUUGCUUAUUUUCUAUUUCCCUUUAGGAAAAGCUCUAUCUUUGAAUGAGAGAAAGAAUGAACGAUGAAUAAAUAUAUGGGAAUAAAUCUACUGGUGGGACCAACAUUUCCUAAUAAGAUGAUCCAUACCUGAAAGUAUCAUGUGCAGACCCACAAACAGUAAUGUCCUUUGUCAGUACUCAUAAAUAUCUCUACUUC